rnacentral:lncRNA from 1 species
AUGAAUGCGAUGCACCAGUAUCAAAUAAAAUAUGAGCAAGAUGGUUACAGAUAGUGUACAUACUCUAUGCUACAUCUGGAUCGGCAUCGGCAUCCUGCUGGGUGAGGUUGUAAGCCUUGCCUUGAAUAGAAGGUCUUCCUUUAUUCUAGUUCCUUGGGCACUCUCUCGCAUAGUGUUGGGCACUACCACAUAUGCGACAAGUGUUGUUGAGGCGGUAACAUGGUCGGUCCCUGUGAUCCCUGCUGCAAUGCUGACAGAUCUUACCAUAUCCUGCCACUGGACCCUAAGGGGGAGCCUGGAUCACAGUUCUGGGCCUCU